AGCCACGUGGCAAUAGCCCAUCAAACGAGGAACUGUUGGUAUAAUGUCUCUGUGGUUUACAACUCUCCAGCUGUCUUUCACUUUCUUGUUGUAAAUUUCUGCAAAUUGCCGGUUGCCAACUCUAGGAGAUCCAAAAUUAUACAUGGUCACUGUUAUUGCCUCGUGCCUUGCAAGUUGACUUGACGAAAGUUCAAGAGCAAGAAGUGUAGCUAAUGCACCACCCAAACUGUGACCUGUAACAUAAACAUGCCAUUUGAGUG
rnacentral:misc_RNA from 1 species